UACGAAGGGGGGCUAGCGUUGCUCGGAAUCACUGGGCGUAAAGCGCACGUAGGCGGAUCGUUAAGUCGGGGGUGAAAUCCUGGAGCUCAACUCCAGAACUGCCUUCGAUACUGGCGAUCUCGAGUCCGGAAGAGGUGAGUGGAACUCCUAGUGUAGAGGUGGAAUUCGUAGAUAUUAGGAAGAACACCCGUGGCGAAGGCGGUUCUCUGGGACGGUACUGGACGCUGAGACGCGAAAGCGUGGGGAGCGAACAGGAUAAGAU
rnacentral:rRNA from 1 species